AAUUCGAACAAAUUAAUCCCGGCGCUCAACUCCCUUCUUCUUCCCUAAGCUUUCCUACGUCGUCCCCUAAAAAAAAAAAUCCCUGGGUCGUCAAUCUAGCUUCCUCGUCGGUGGUUCUGGCCUCCUCGCCAGUCGCCGGUGGCUCUUUUCUCACCUCAUCUCCAGUCGCCGGUAGCUCUUUUCUCGCCUCCUCUCCAGUCGCCGUUUGAAGAUGAACGAGAUGCUGAAGAUGCUUUGCACGGUCGAUAUUGUUCAAACUGCUCUUGUGGAUUGUUAUACCAGUUUUUGUUCGGAUGUUGGGACUCCACGUCAACUGUUUGAUGAAAUGUCUGAGAGAAAUGUUGUUUCUUGGACAGCUAUGAUAUCUGGGUAUGCAAGAUUGGGGGAGAUGGGGAAUGCCAUUCUUUUGUUUGAUUAAAUGCCUGAAAGGGAUGUACCUUCCUGGAAUUCUAUAAUUGCUGGAUGCAAUCAGAAUGGGUUGUUUUCAGAAGCGAUCUUGUACCUUAGAAGAAUUUUGGGCUCAUUCGGGUUGCAGCUUAGACCAAAUGAAGUAACUUUAACAAUGAGAAUAAGUGAAUUCCAUGAGAAGAUAUGAAGCAGCUAGUUGGCUUAGGAAAAAUGUGGGGUUGUCGCCGCUAGAGACCUGCCGGCGGAGCCCUCUGAAGAAGAGUUUAAGCUUGGUUUUAGAAGUGGAUUGAUCCUUUGCAAUGUCCUUAACAAGGUCCAACCUGGAGCUGUGCCAAAGGUGGUGGAGAGCCCUACAGAUUCUACUCUUCUUCCUGAUGGAGCAUCUUUAUUAGCUUAUCAGUACUUUGAAAAUGUGAGGAACUUUCUUGUAGCAGCAGAAAAUAUGGGGCUUCCUACAUUUGAGGCAUCUGAUCUCGAGCAAGGUCACGAGCUCAACUAGUGAGUUUCCUUGAAGUUGGUCCUUUCUUCAAUGCAGUUAGUGGAAUCAGUUCUCAGUUCUUAAUUCGAGCAACGCAUGGGCUCCCAAAGUGAUAUGGCUAAUCAACUAAGGCAAGCAACAGCAAAAGAUUUUUCUGCAUCACAUGGGAAGAAGUCUUUUUCAAAGAUGUCUUCUGAUAACUCUAAGGCGAGUGAUCAUAUCUCCUUUAUGAGUAUAUAAAUAUAAAUAUAAAUUCAGGCAAACUGUGACUUUAGGUGAGAAAGUCUUGGCAUCUUUUAAUAUCGUACUGAAGGUAGGAGAUAGAAGCUUUGCCUUAACCAAGAAGCAGGAGAGCACUAAUGGCAAUCAUGUUAGUGCUGAACAACUGAGAAGUCAGAUGAUGAAACAACAAGAAAUCUUUGAUCGGCAAGGAAGAGAUGUCCAGGUACACAUAAGUAUGGCCUAGCUAAAGCAGCAAGUGGAUAUCACAAGGUUCUCGAUGAGAAUCGUAGGUUGUACAAUGAUUUGUUGGGUGACAACGAUAACGAUGACCCAUCGCAGCUCAUCGAGUCUGUUGUUCAGCUGCAAAAGGUUGAUGCUGCUGCUGCGACUCAGAAAACACCAGCUCAGGCUGCUGCUCAAACCCAGCAAAAAGCUGCGAAAUUGCCCUCAAAACCCCUGCCCCCAUCUCAAGCUGUCUGGACCGAAAGACCUCACGGAGCAGAGUCGAAGUGUAAACUACAGGUCUUUCGGUGACCUAUUUUAUCUCGUGGAGCAAAGGAAAGACACUUUUCUUAAUGAUGUUGCUGUCCAGAUGAUCGAGAUUUACAAUGAGCCGUGUCAACAUUAAAAAUAGGGAAAUUCUAUAAGCAUCUGGCACUGAUAAAGCAAGGAGGCACCGGUACGAUAGAAAUUUUUCCUAGAGGGAAAAUCGAAACACACGAUUCCACGUUCUGAAAUGGAUUCUACACAACAUAACGCUUACAGUUUUGGUGAAGAAACUACAGCUGUCUUUGGUGCUACAGAGUUGACGGAUGAUCCUACAUGGAUUGUUGACCCACUUGAUGGGACAACUAACUUUGUGCACGGGUUCCCGUUUGUUUGUGUUUCUAUUGGUCUCACCAUUGGAAAAGUCCCAACUGUCGGUGUCGUGUAUAAUCCAAUUAUGAAUGAGGUAUAUACUCCGAGGAAUGUGCCUUAUGCUAGUGAGGAAUUGAUGUGGUUCGUGAGCAGUUGGCUAAGAUUUUUAUUAGCAAGUAUUUAUUACUGGCCUGAGCGCGCUUGGUCGAGUUUUUUGAUAUUAAAAUGUAUGCGUACAUUGAAAUUGGAACGAACAAAUAUUUUAAUGUAGUACCUGCACUUUGGU